GCUCCCGUAGCUCAGCUGGAUAGAGCGCCUGGCUAAUCCUUGGAGGUCGUCGGUUCAACUCCGGCCGGGAGCU
rnacentral:tRNA from 1 species